rnacentral:rRNA from 1 species
CCUACGGGUGGCAGCAGUGAGGAAUAUUGGUCAAUGGACGAGAGUCUGAACCAGCCAAGUAGCGUGAAGGAUGACUGCCCUAUGGGUUGUAAACUUCUUUUAUAUGGGAAUAAAACGUUCCACGUGUGGGAUUUUGUAUGUACCAUAUGAAUAAGGAUCGACUAACUCCGUGCCAGCAGCCGCGGUAAUACGGAGGAUCCGAGCGUUAUCCGGAUUUAUUGGGUUUAAAGGGAGCGUAGGUGGAUUGUUAAGUCAGUUGUGAAAGUUUGCGGCUCAACCGUAAAAUUGCAGUUGAAACUGGCAGUCUUGAGUACAGUAGAGGUGGGCGGAAUGCGUGGUGUAGCGGUGAAAUGCUUAGAUAUCACGAAGAACUCCGAUUGCGAAGGCAGUUCACUGGACUGCAACUGACACUGAGGCUCGAAAGUGUGGGUAUCAAACAGGAUUAGAUACCCCUGUAGUC